GUCUUUUUGAUUUUAAUUUAAAGUUUAACCUGCCCAUUGAAAAUUUUUAAAAGGCUGCGGUAUUUUGACUGUACAAAGGUAGCAUAAUCAUUAGUUUUUUAAUUGAAAACUUGUAUGAAUGGUUGAAUGAAAAAUUAACUUUUUUAAAAAAAUAAUUGAAUUUUACUUUUUAAUUAAAAGGUUAAAAUAAAUUUAAAAGACGAGAAGACCCUAUAGAGUUUUAUAAUUUUUAUUUAAUAUUUAAAAAGAUUAAUUAAAAUUUUAUAAAAGAAAAUAUUUUGUUGGGGUGAUAAUAAAAUUUAAAUAACUUUUAUUUUUUUUUACAUUAAUAUAUGAAUUUAUGAUCCAUUAUUGAUGAUUAUAAAUUUAAAUUACCUUAGGGAUAACAGCGUAAUUUUUUUUUAAAGUUCAUAUUAAUAAAAAAUUUUGCGACCUCGAUGUUGGAUUAAGAUUUAAUUUUAGGUGCAGCAGUUUAAAUUUUAAGUCUGUUCGACUUUUAAAUUCUU
rnacentral:rRNA from 1 species